ACGCUCGACACCUACGGGAGGCGGCAGUGGGGAAUAUUGCACAAUGGGGGAAACCCUGAUGCAGCGAUGCCGCGUGAAGGAAGAAGUAUCUCGGUAUGUAAACUUCUAUCAGCAGGGAAGAAAAUGACGGUACCUGACUAAGAAGCCCCGGCUAACUACGUGCCAGCAGCUGCGGUAAUCUGAGCGGGCUGGCAAGGC
rnacentral:rRNA from 1 species